UACGAAGGACCCGAGCGUUAUCCGGAUUCAUUGGGUUUAAAGGGUGCGUAGGCGGCCCGGUAAGUCAGUGGUGAAAGCCUCCAGCUCAACUGGAGAACUGCCAUUGAUACUGCCGGGCUUGAGUACAGACGAGGUUGGCGGAAUUGAUUGUGUAGCGGUGAAAUGCAUAGAUACAAUCAAGAACUCCGAUUGCGUAGGCAGCUAACUAGGCUGUAACUGACGCUGAGGCACGAAAGCGUGGGGAGCGAACAGG
rnacentral:rRNA from 1 species